rnacentral:rRNA from 1 species
GGCUCAGAACGAACGCUGGCGGCGCGCCUAAUACAUGCAAGCCGAGCGAGAAGGUGUAGCAAUACACUUGUAAAGCGGCGAACGGGUGAGGAAUACAUGGGUAAUCUACCAUCGAGUGGGGGAUAACCAGCCGAAAGGUUGGCUAAUACCGCGUACGCCUCCGGAUCUUCGGGUUCGGAGGGAAAGCCACACUGUGAGUGCGGCGCUCUUUGAUGAGCUCAUGUCCUAUCAGCUUGUUGGUAGGGUAACGGCCUACCAAGGCUUUGACGGGUAGCUGGUCUGAGAGGACGAUCAGCCACACUGGCACUGCGACACGGGCCAGACUCCUACGGGAGGCAGCAGUAAGGAAUAUUGCGCAAUGGGCGAAAGCCUGACGCAGCGACGCCGCGUGGGGGAUGAAGGUCUUCGGAUUGUAAACCCCUUUCGGGAGGGAAAAUGGAACGAGUAAUCGUUCGGACGGUACCUCCAGAAGCAGCCACGGCCAACUUCGUGCCAGCAGCCGCGGUAAUACGAAGGUGGCAAGCGUUGUUCGGAUUCACUGGGCGUACAGGGUGUGUAGGCGGUUUGGUAAGCCUUCUGUUAAAGCUUCGGGCCCAACCCGGAAAGCGCAGAGGGUACUGCCAGGCUAGAGGGUGGGAGAGGAGCGCGGAAUUCCCGGUGUAGCGGUGAAAUGCGUAGAGA